rnacentral:rRNA from 1 species
GACGAACGCUGGCGGCGUGCUUAACACAUGCAAGUCGAACGAAGUGGCGAACGGGUGAGUAACGCGUAAUCAACCUGCCCUUCAGAGGGGGACAACAGUUGGAAACGACUGCUAAUACCUCAUACUGAAGCAGGGGAUUGCGUCUGAUUAGCUCGUUGGAGGGGUAACGGCCCACCAAGGCGAUGAUCAGUAGCCGGUCUUGGAGGAUGAACGGCAAAAUUUGGACUGAGACACGGCCCAGACUCCUACGGGAGGCAGCAGUGGGGAAUCUUCCGAAAUGGACGAAAGGCUGACGAAGCAACGCCGCGUGAGUGAUGACGGCCUUCGGGUUGUAAAGCUCUGUUAAUCGGGACGCGGUACCGGAAGAGAAAGCCACGGCUAACUACGUGCCAGCAGCCGCGGUAAUAC